AGCAUUUGGUGAUCUAAAACAACAUGAGAUCCAUGCAAAAAGAAGCUGGUGUGGGUAUUUGGCUCGGAUACACGACCCUGAGAGCUGAAUAAAAAGCUGGUUUCUGGAGCUCCUCUGACGCAUCUUGUGUAUACUGGCAAGUGGCAACAAACAACAGUGGAAGUUAAUCACGCCCACGGGUAAUUGCUUGGAAUUGGCAUACCCCUAAUAAACCCUACACAUGACACUAGAAGAGCUUGGUGCUAAAGUCAAAGACUGGGACAGGAUCUCCCAAGAUGUCAUCUGCUGCCUGAUUGUAAAUAUGUCCUGUCAAUGUGAUUGCAACAGACAGAGGAGCCCAUACUGAAAUAUUAAUAUGGACCAAUGUCAAACGGUAUAAAAAACGGAUCUAUCGGCAUUUUGAUUUCCAUGGGUUAUGUUCAGAUGCGCCCCACUGAUGUUACGCGCAUAAUACUUUUAUUUGUUGAUGUCAGUGUGUAAAGAGUGCUCCCUUAAUUCAUUCUUAUUGUUAAUUGUGUUUUGGGAUAAUUCAAGUAUGAAAUGUUUCUCCUUUCAUUUUUUUUAGUAAUGUAUUUUAUGAUUGCUUUACAGGAAAGCACAAUAGCCCAAAUAGCUAUGAGAUUAUAUUGGAACUUGUUCAUUAUUUUGAAACUUUUAGUGGCAUCCAAAUAAUGAUAAUACUUCUACAUUUGCUGCAGGCAAUUAACUUUCUUGUGAAUAAAGUCCUAUUAAUUGCAUUUAUAGACUUUAAAUGAAGUAUGUCAAAUGCUUUUAGUAGACCAUUUCCAAACCAAUUUGCAUGGUAAUGAAUAAAUGUUGCCAAUAUCUGAAACAUGGCAAGGGCUAUUUUAGCUCCUACAUAAAAAUGCAUAUGAAUGUUAUGGAGCCAAGAUGUACAGUACUGUAUAAUCCAAUGCUUAAAUAACAGGAAACACAAAACAGCGUUUCUUUGUAAACUGCUUGUCCAGUGUAUAAAUGAUAAGGCUUUUAGACACAUUUAAUGACAAUUAACCAUCACAUUGUAGUCUCUUUUCCCCUUCUGUUAUUUUAAAACUCACGCAGCUGUCAUGUGGCUACUGUUGAGACGACAGCCAACUCAUUUUAAUUUGUGUAAUGUGUAGUGGUAUAUAUUGUUUGAAGUGUUAAAUAAAUGCCAUCUGAGUUUCCAUUCCUUCUUUAUCAAAUUCUAGACUGGGUUGUCAAAGCUGUUUACUCCAAAUCGUCAUUAGCACAUUUUUGUUUCGGAAUGGGAAAAACACUAAUUCAACUUCUAAAAUGAAUAAGACACAGCUUAAUACUUCAUUCAAGUCCCUGAAUUAAAAGUCUUAGUUGUGUAUUCCUGGUUUGGUAACUUUAUUGGAUGUGUUUCUCUUCUGUGAAAAAACUGUGCUAUGUCGAAUUGGAGUAAAUACAUUUGAGAAUUAAGCCCACUAUGUUAUGUUGUGUCAUGUGUUUAGGUUUUCAUAACUAGCUAGCUAAAAUAUACUUAGACUUGUUGGUGGGUAAUGUGUUAUAGAUCCUGAUAUACUUAUCCACCCAUUCUUGCAAGCUAAUAAAACACAAAAAAAAUAUGCCAGUCCUUAGCCAAUGCAGAAAAGGAUUAUGUAGUAGGGGUCAUGCUAAGUGUGGUAUGAUAAUGAUUUGAAUAACCUGAAUUCAUCACAUUAAAAAAGAAUGCAGAGGAAUUAAGUACUCAUGAAAAGGCACUGGUGAAUGAACCCAGUAAUCUGCAGAUAUAUACCAGUAGUGCAAACAGCUUCAAACCAAGUUUUCCACACAUGGUUGCACAGUUUUCUUUGGCUCCCCACCAGGAAGUGUUAUCUCCUGAGUUAAGAGUGCCUAUUCAGCCAUCUCACAUGCUUUUUUAUGGGGUCUUUGUAAGUUAAUACAUUGAGUGUAGGAUGUCUCUUAUUGUUAUAAGAGAUGUCAUCACAUAUGUUUUGGGUGAGAGGACCACAAAGCGUAGCAGUUCUGGCUGCUCAAACUCUGCAAAAUGAUUUCUGUUAUAAUAAGAGAACCUACACUGAUAUAUUAACUUAUUAAAAUGGCAAAAACAAAGAUUGCACUCCAAAACUGCUAUUGAACAUAAAGUAUGUUAUAUGCAUGUGAUGACAUCUAUACUCAGGAUAAGAUGUUUCUGGAAUUUUAAAUCCUUAAUGUGAUUGUUUGAUUUCUCAUAUGUGAUUUAUAAUCUUGAUCAUAUGAAAUGUUUAAAUUUUACUCAGUCAAAAGCAUCAAGAGCAACCUUGAAUUUGACAUUAUGGUGUACCAUGAGAGAUACUACCAUUUUAUUGAGUGAAAAAUCUACAGUGCUGUGCAAAAGUUAGAAGCCUUCCACAUUGUUGGUCUAAUUUCUUUUUUUUUUUUUGGCUGGUGUCUCUGAUUCUCCCCAUCAAGUUUACUGUUAUAUGUAGACACUCUGCCUUCAUUUGAGUAUUUUGUUUUUUUUACCACUCCGUAGAUUGUUUAGUUACUGCAACAAACCAUUUUAGUCCUUCUUUAAUGAAAUGGCAAAGAACUGUAGAUUGAUAAGAUGCUUUAGAUUUCUUUCUGGUUUGGGUAUUAAUGGUACAGUAUACCUUACAUCUGCUAGGUGCAGAGUGUAUGGGACAGGUUAAUGGUAUACCCAAUGUAGGUAUGACAUGAUUCUGAAGGCUCUGUACAAACACAUUUGAAUCCAAGAAAGCUGAUUGGUUGGAAUAGUAUUUUCCAAUAUGACAAUUACAUUUGUUCUGCUAAUAAAAUAACAGCAGCAACUUCAAAGUUUUAUUAUCCAAUGUAUUCUAAUUAGACAACAAAAUGUUGACUCUGACUCUUUUUACAGCCCUAUUCAUUGUGACCUUACAGGGUGAACAAAAAACGAGGUGCAACUUAGUAUAAAAAAUAUGCCAUUAUGCGUGUCUGUAAUUUGUGAUGGGCGAGGGAACAGAGUAUCAAUUCUUAAUCUUUCCCUGCUGUUAAGGCAACAUAUUCUCAGCAGCAAAUUUCACCAAAUGGAUUUUUCUAUACAGUUCAAACUGAGUUGUGCUGCAGGCAAAGUUCCCAUUUAAAUGAAAAAUGUCUCUAGUUGUAAGGUUGAAACAGUCCUUCUUACUGAUGCCAUCAUCUUGUGCAAACAAAUAGUCAGUCUGUGAACAAUAAUUAGGUGAAGCAAAGAUUCUUCCUUUGAAAACCAAUUUUUUUUAAACCUGUAAUUAACAUUGCUGACUAAGGUUGUGUGAUCAGCCUUUUAAAAGUGUUUGAACACCACUUUAAUCCUUUUUGUCUGUAAGGAUGCACUUUGGUCACAAUAUGAUGUUCAUCAAUAUUGAUCUAAAUAGAAAGUACAGUAUUCGAAAAAAAGAGUACAGGGUUUAUUUUGAAAAAAGAUGCGCAUCGUGAAGGCUAAGCUAACUCUCAAAGGAUAUUCUGACCCGCAUGCUAAGUUCUUGUCUAUGCUUUAUCAUUUUUCACUACAGUAUUUAAGCAAUAGAAUCCUGAUAAGAAGGAUUACUGUUGACAUCAUCGGAAAGAUGCCAUAUAUGCACGGUCAACUGCAGUACCAAGAUGAGCCAGUCAGGAUUUUAUUGCGAUUAAAAAAUGUAUUUCUAUUUCAGAUAUUUAAAUCUCAUAGUUCCAGAUGUAUUUGCCCUUUCAAUGUUGUUUUGCUUUCUUCAUUUUAUACUUUUAUCUGAAUGUUGUGUGAUCAUCUGUCUAAACCUCAGAACAUUUAUUGACCAAUCAGGAAGCUCAAUUAAAGGGCAUUAGCACAUGAUAGAUUAGUUCAGAUAUAUUUCUAGCUUAAAAACAACUAAACAGAAGAAAAACAAAACAUUAAAAUAUUGAAAAGGUAAAUUAAUCAUUUUAAUAAGAUUGACAUGUUUGAAAUGGGAAUGAAAGCUCUGUUUAUUGGUUUCCAAUCAAAACAAAACUGAGUACCUUCGUAGUUGCCCUUCUCUGCGACUUGAUCUGUUACCUGCCCUUCACAGUCAGUUACCAGACUGCAAUGCCCUCUAGUGAGAGUUGUAUUGCUUAUGUAGUGCCUUUUUCUGAUUGGUGGAUGCAAGUUUCUAAUGGAUUGAAUUUAGAGAAAUGUAGAGAGCUAAUUUGUGUGUGAUAUUAUAGCGUCUAUAAAUUGGGCAGGACAUCUUGAAACCGAUAACUGCUUCCAAUGUCAACUAGUGACUUCAGUGGGUCAUGGUGUUAACUCUGAAUGUCCAUUUGCACUGACCACAGUGAUCCCAGCUUAAAAUGUCAUUCUACAUGACUGUGGCAUCAUUACAUUUUAAAAAUAAAUAAUAGAAUAAAUAAAAUGCUGUACAUUUCUUUAGGGAAGCCCUCUGAAAGCACAGCUGUAAUGGGUUAUUUUACAUUUUAAAGAUGUAACCAGCAGGCUAUACCAUGGGCUUUCUUAUAAGAAAGGGGAAUUAUACCCUGUUUUUCUCUCUGAAAGGAAUUAAACCAUAUAAACGCAUUACAACUCCCCGCCAUUAAUUUGUUUCUCCCUAAUAGUUUAUUUAUUUAUUAUUAAUCCCAGGAGCAAGUCUGUGAAUAGACACUUGAAUUGCAUAAUUGUCAUCCAUAGAAACUGUAAUGUUUUUAACAAAUGGAACAUAUUUUGGGAGAUGAGCACUAUUCCUCUGGUCCUUAAUAAACACAUGUUGUUUGUUUGUUUUUCAUUUUGUGUACACCUGCAUAAACAAUGUGAAUUGUGGAGUACCACUUAAGCUGAAAUCCUCUUGGAAAGAACACUUGAAUUGAAGGGGUAAAAUAGCAAAUUCAGAAAAUCCAUUAAUUUUAUUUUUUUAACUUUCUAUUUAUGUAUUUCCAAUACUGAAUAGCUUCGUGGCUCUUGCACAAACUGAUGGAUGCAUGCCAGCUUAGUUGACAUCAAUGCACUUUGUCUACUUUUCUUAAGUUUCACCAGUCUAUUUCACACUUGCAUGGUUCAUAUCAAAACACCUCAUCGUCAAGUCCUAGAUUACAUAGUAAGGCGAUCUGGCUUGUAUUUUCAUUCAAUAAAGUAGGGAAUAGUUUGAAUCACAAAUUUUCCAAAACCGAAUUUUCUCUGGGUUAUACAGAAAGUCACUGAACCAAAUUUAAUUGAAAUUGAAAUAUAUUUAUAACCACUCUCCAUACAGUAUUCUGUACUGUAGUUAAAAUGAUAAUUUCUUUUUUUAUACAUACAGUCCUGCAUUGUAUUACAGAUUUAUGUAUGCCAAGUUAAUUAUCCAAUUGACUAUCUUUCAUUUCUAUAUAGGACAGGGUUUUGAAUGUUAUACAGAUGUGUUUUCUGUGGUUCACAGCAGCCUGACAUCAUUUUUACUGUAAUGGAUUUUUUUGGAAAAAAUCUGUUUUAGCAUGGGGCCAUCUGUAAAUUACAAAUAAUGGUGUAAUGUGAUGAGAUAUGUAGAUAAUGGGAGUUGGAUUGUGGUAAUGAACUUAAAUGAGAUUAUAAUGGGAACUAAAAUUGAUUUGAAUAGGUAUACGCACAGAUGCACAGUAUUUUCAUUUGUCUAAUAACAUGGGCACAGGUAGCUUACAAGCUGAAGAGAAUGGUGCGUGUUGGAACUUCUAAACAGACAGUGUCUGCCUUCUAAAUCUUUUGGAAAAGAGAUCUAGAGAAAUGUCUGUUCAUAUGGUGUAUAAUUAAUGUUUUAAAGCCAGUGGUCAUCUUUGCAGUGCUGCUGUGGGAAAAAAAAUCUUAAAUGUUGUGUGUCCCGAACAAAAACCAGACUGCAGUAUUUUCUCCAUGUUGCCUCAAUUAUGUAACCUUUCUCCAAGGUUGCCAACCGUCUGUAAAUUUACGGACAGUCUGUAAAAAAAAAAAAAUUAAAUUAAAAAGUCACAUUUUAACACUGAGUGCAAACCUGUAAAUAACAAAAAAUGUCUGUGAUUUUUAAUCGAUCGCUAGGUCCUGUGGUAUCCAGCCUCGACAAUUAGACCAAAGAAGGCAGAAAUGGUAGCGAAAUCAAGACCAUCUUGUCAUAAAUGUGAGCCUCUCGACAAAACACGACUGGCUGAGUGGGUCUGAUUUCAAUACAAGUGAGGGCUUGUCUGCAUGUAUGCCUGCUUAUAUGUCACCGUUAGAUUUACUGGCGUCAGCUGCCGUUUCUUUGACCCACGAAGAGGAAGACAGUAAGAACCUGUACCCCAGUUUUUCCACAGUAUUCACUUCGAUCCCCAAAUUAAAGAAACGUUUACCAGAUGGAAGAUCAGCAUUUCGAAAGAGAGAGAAUAAAAGGGUAAGUAACAGUGUCAUAUUGCCCCUUGCUUUAUGUAUAUUUAUGUAAUCCGUACUUUAAAUAUUAUAUAUUAAUUACUGUAGCCUAUAUUCACUUUUAUUUUGUUAUUUUUUUGAAUAUGUGUUUAUUUACAAUAUUUGUCAGCAGACCCAGUGUAUAUAUUAUAUUAUAAUUAUUAAAUAAGGAUACGGUAUGCAAAAUGUUAUAAAACAAACGAGCAGAAGCACACAUUUGUAUUUUAAACUGAAUUAGAUCUAGCAUUGUUAUUAUUAUUAUUAAUAAUAAUAAUAAUAAUAAUAAUAAUAAUAAUAAUAAUAAUAAUAAUAAUGAUAAUUUCUAAAAUGUUUACCUAUUGUAUGGAUCAGUUGAUACAUGUGUGUUAUAAUUACUGUGACAUGAUGUUAAAUACUUUCACGGUUUCAGCUGUAGUGACAUCAUUUUGCCUUGUAGAUAUUCAGGUAAAGAUUUGACCAAAAAUGGUCUCAGUUGGAAUACAGUGUGAACUCCUCCAACCACCCCCUGAGGAGGAAGAUGAUUCAACUGAAGACACAGACUCUGAUGAUACCAGAAUCUAUUGAAUCUCUGGAAUGUGAUGAUCCAGACUAAGAGGUUGAAGAAAAUAAGUUUUGCCUAGCUAAAGUAACAAUAUAUAUUUUUUUUCCUGUACAUAAUUAAAUAAUUUACUAGUAUUCAAUUGAAGUAAACCAUUUACAUUAUCAUUAUCUAAUUAUUUGCACCACUCUGGAUUAUUUUGUUAGUGACAAAUCAGGGAGCCUCGCAGACAGAGGAUCUUUCUUGUGUGUGAGGAGUCUCUUAUGGAGGUGUUCCAGCACUGUCCAGGCUGUCAAAUUGAAUUUGUAGCAGAAGUAAAGAAAAUAUUUGGAACAGCAGUUAGCAUUUAUCAAAAAUGCACUGGCUGUGGAGUGGAGAGGUUGUGGAACAGCCAGCCCAAUGUCAGACAUACACCUGUAGGCAAUUUGAUGUGGUCUGCAUCUUUGAUAUUCAGUGGCUCCAGUAUUAGCAAAACAUUGCUGUUCCUGCACCACCUAGGAAUCCCUACAAUAUUGUAUCAAACCUACCUCAACCACCAAAGCUUCUAUCUACAUCCUGCAAUAGAGUCCUUAUGGAUAGAGGAGCAGACUUCGGUAAAAGAGAAAAUCAAGGCUGCUGCAGGCAAAUUUAUUGCUGCUGGGGAUGGCCGUGCAGAUAGCCCUGGUCAUAGUGCCAGACUUGGCUGUUACACAGUGUUAGACACCAAUCUCAGUAAACUUGUUGACACUGAACGGUAAGAUGUUUUGCAGAUUCUCCAUUAUUUUCUUCAUAUAUCUCUGUUGUAUUGGGCAUAUUUUUAAAACAAUGGCAGCUCAAUGGAAUAUAAUCUAGUCUUUUAUUUGUAUCUUUUAUAAAUCCAAUUUAGGUUGCAAGCGAUUGAAUAAUUACACUUUUUUCAUGUUGUUAUUGUAUUAUGAGUUUGUGAGUUGCACAUCUGUGAUAAAUAGUUAUUUUUUGUCAGUUUUAUCUGAUAGAUGGAAAUUAACAUAAUGCAAUUAACGUGAACAAUCCUAGAAGCAGUGAAAAGGCUGCUGCUUGAUUUGCAUAUUGUUAACUGUUCCAGGUAACUGAAGUCUCUACAAGUAAUGCGACGGAAAAAGAAGGAUUGAUCAGAGGUAUUCAUCCAUUGAAGGGAGAGGAUUAACUAUCGAAGGAAUGACAACUGAUAGGCACACAUCCAUUCGCAAGUAUUUGAGGAAGAAAAAGAGACUUCUAACAUUCCCUGGAUGUAUGGCAUGUUGC